rnacentral:rRNA from 1 species
GACGAACGCUGGCGGCGUGCUUAACACAUGCAAGUCGAACGGAAAGGCCCUGCUUUUGUGGGGUGCUCGAGUGGCGAACGGGUGAGUAACACGUGAGUAACCUGCCCUUGACUUUGGGAUAACUUCAGGAAACUGGGGCUAAUACCGGAUAGGAGCUCCUGCUGCAUGGUGGGGGUUGGAAAGUUUCGGCGGCUGGGGAGUGACUCUCGGCUUAUCAGCUUGUUGGUGGGGUAGUGGCUUACCAAGGCUUUGACGGGUAGCCGGCCUGAGAGGGUGACCGGCGACACUGGGACUGAGAUACGGCCCAGACUCCUCCGGGAGGCAGCAGUGGGGAAAAUUGCACAAUGGGCGGAAGCCUGAUGCAGCAACGCCGCGUGCGGGAUAACGGCCUUCGGGUUGUAAACCGCUUUCGCCUGUGACGAAGCGUGAGUGACGGUAAUGGGUAAAGAAGCACCGGCUAACUACGUG